CUUACAUAACUAUGGUCAUAUUUUUACAAUUAAUGAACUAAUAUUGAUUAUUAUUCACUUAAAUUCAUUCUUUAUUCAUAUUUUCAUCUUUACCUAAUUAUAUUUUUCUGCUUCAGGAUACCACAACACAUUUGGCAUUCAUGUCUCCUAAGGCUCCUCUUGACUUAACAAUGUCUAAGACAUUCCUUGUUUUUGAUGAUCUUGACAGUUUUGAAGAGUACAGGUCACUUUUUGCAAAAUGGCCUUCAGUGGUAUUUCUAUGAUGUUCUCCUCUUCAUGAUUAAACUGGGGUUAUAGUUUCUUGAUAGGAAGACCACAAAAGGUGCCAUUUUCAUCAUGUCCUAUCAAACAUAUGUCCCAUGAAUAUGACUUAUCACUGUUGAUGUUGACCUUGAUCACAUGGCUGAGACAGUAUUUUUCAGACUUUUCCAAGGUAAAGUUACUCUUUUUUCAUCCUUCUCAUACUGCACUCUUUAGAAGAAAGUCAUUGAGCACAGACUAUAUUUAAAGGGUAGAAAGUUAGCAUAUGUUGUCACAAUUAGCUUUAUAAUAAGUUUUAAAAACAAGGUGGUGUGAGUCCUCCAACUUUGCUCUUAUUCAAUAUUGUGUUCAUUCUUCUAGAUCUUUGCCUUUUUGUGUUAAUUUUAAAUCAGCUUGUUCAUAGCUACAAAAUACCAUUAUGUGAUCUUGAUAAGGACUGUGUUGAAUCUAUAAAUCAAAUGGAAAAUAACUGAUAUCUGAACAAUAUUGAGCUUUCCAGUGUAUCAACACAGAGUAUCUCCGUAUUAAUUUAGAUCUUCUUCUACUUCUUUAAUCAGAGUUUGGUACUUUUCCUCAUAUAUGUCUUGUAUACAUUUUAUUAAAUUUAUAUCUAAGAUUUUCUUUUUCUUAUAGUAUGAUAAAUGGUAUUUUUAUUUAAAUCUUAAAUUUCAACUGUUUAAUGCUGGCAUACAGAAAAGUAAUUAAUGCUGUAUAUUAACCUUGUAUUCUGCAAUCUUGUCAUACUUGCUUAUAAGUUCCAGGAUUUUUUUUCGGAUCCAUUGUGGUGGAGGCAGGGGUGUCUCCAGAUAAAACCAUGUCAUCUAGAGACAAAGAUAUUCUUCUUUCUUCCUUUUAAAUAUCUAUAAAUUUUAUUUAUUUAUUUUAUUGCAACAGCUAGAUAUUUACAGUGGGAUUUUGAAUAGUCCUUGCCUUUUUCUUGAUAUUAAGAAAAAAGCAGGGAUGGAGCCAAGAUGCCUGAAUAGAGGCAGCUCUGCUCAGCAGCACCCACGGAGGACAAAAACUGUGAGUGCACUCUGCAUCUUCAACUGAGGUACCAAAUUUCUCUUAUUGGGACUGACUAGGUGGCGGGCAUGACCCUCGGAAAGCAAACAAAAGCAGGGUGGAGCAACACCCCACCCAGGAGCUACACAUGGCAAAGGGAGCUCCUUCCCCCAGCCAAGGGAGACAAUGAGGGAUUGUACAUCCCUUCCCUGUAAACCAGGCUUUUCCCAGGGAUCCUUGUAACCUGCUCAUCAGGAGGUCCCCUCCUGAGCCCAGGCUACCAGAGACUUGGGGCCCAAGCAGAAAGCUGUGGAGAAUCACAGGGGCUGCUCGAGUGGGCAGCUGCUUUGAGCAGACACUGCGACAUAGGAGUGUUAGCAUACUCUGCUCUUUGAAAUCCCUUCAGGCAGGAAAUCCAUCCACUCUUGUAAGGAGGAGGCUGAAGCCAGGGAGCCAAGUGGCCUGUUCCCACAGACCUCCACAAGCCCAAACCCCCUGGCUUAGAGCCAUACCCCACUUCCCCCAGCCAGUGCAGCCAGGGAGAAGCUGCCUAACAAGACAGAGUUCCCCAGGGAAAGGGGUGGCUGCCAUCACUGUUGGCCCCUUUCCCUUGCCACUGACACCAGUGAGAGAGUGGGACUGGAUCAACUCCUCCUCAGUGGGUGGAGUCUCCCUGUGGGAAUCUCAGCAUCCCCAGGCAAGAAUUUGUGGACAGAACACUGAUAACCCUGAGAGGAGCUCCCUGGAGGAGUGGCAGCUGUGGUAUCCUGCAUCAAGGAUCUUAAGUCUUUUCUGCCUUCUGGCUCUAGAGAAUCAGGGUAGCCCAGAUGAGGGUGAUUCUCCCAAGUGAAGCACACCCACCCUGUAAAGGGGCAGGCACAUUGCUUAUUUAAACAGGUCCCUAACCCCACUUUUCCUGACUGAGUGGGACCUCUCAACAGGAGUCUCAAGACACCUCAUACAGAGUGUUUCAGUCAGCAUCAGGCCAGUGCCCCUAUGGGACAGAGCCCCCCGAGAAAAAAGCAGCCUGACAUCUUUGCUCUCUGCAGCCUCCCCUGAUGUUAACUCCAGGGAGGGGAGGGAUCAAAGCGAAUAGGGGCCGGAGUGGACUGCAAGCAAACUGCAGCAGCCCCACAGAAGAGUGGUCUGACUGCUAAAAGAAAAACAAACAGAACACAGCCACAUCAACAAAAAAGGCAUCAAAUAAAACCCCAUCAAAAUUCAGCAGCCUCAAAAAUCAAAGAUGGAUGAACCCACGAAGAUGAGAAAGAAUCAAUGCAAAAAUGCUGACAACUCAAAAAGCCAGAGUGCCUCUUCUCCUUCAGGAGGUUGCCACAGGCCUCCAGCAAGGGCACAGAAAUGGGCUGAGGCUGAGAUGGAUGAAAUUGACAGAAGUAAGCUUCAGAAGAUGGGUAAUAAUGAACUUCACUGAGCUGAAGGAUUAUGUUCUAACUCACUACAAAGAAGCUAAGAACCAUGAUAAAAAUGUUACAGGAGCUGUUAACCAGAGUAACCAGUUUAGAGAGGAACAUAAAUGAUCUAAUAGAGCUGAAAAACACAACACGAGAACUUCUCGUAAUGCAAACACGAGUAUGAAUAGCUGAAUAGACCAAAUAGAAAAAAGGAUAUCAGAGCAUGAAGACAAUCUUGCUGCAAUAAGGCAGGCAGACAAGAUUAGAGAAAAAUGAACGAAAAUGAAUGAACAAAACCUUGGAGAACUAUGGGGCUAUGUUAAAAGACCAAACCUACGAAUGAUAGGCGUACCUGAAAGAGACAGGGAGAACGGAACCAAGUUGGAAAACCCACUUAAAGAUAUCAUCCAGGUAACUUCCCCAACCAGCAAGACAGGCCAAUAUUCCAAUUCAGGAAAUCCAGAGAACCCCAGCAAAAUACUCCAUGAGAAGAUCAACCCAUAACUAUCAGAUUUUCCAAGGUUGAAAUGGGGAAAAAUUAUUAAGCACAGCCAGAAAAAAGGGCCAGGUCACCUGUAAAGAGAAGCCCAUCAGACUAACAGCAGGCUUCUCCGCAGAACCUCUACAAGCCAGAAGAGAUUGGGGGCCAAUAUAUAACAUCCUUAAAGAAAAGAAUUUCCAAACUAGACUUCCAUAUCCAGCCAAACUAAGUUUCCAAAGUGAAGGAUAAAUAAUAUCUUUUUCAGACAAGCAAGUGCUGAGGGAGUGUGUCACCUUGCCUGCCUUGCAAGAGCUCCUGUAAAAGGCACUAAAUAUGGAAAGGAAAAACCAAUACCAGCCACUACAAAAAACACACUGAAAUACCGAGAUCAGUGAUAUUAUGAAGCAAAUGCAUAAACAAGUCAGCAAAAUAACCAGGCAUCAUGAUGUCAGGAUCAAAGUCACGCAUAACAAUAAUAACCUUAUAUGUAAAUGGGCUUUGCCCCAGUGAAAAGACACAGAGUGGCAAGCUGGAUAAAGAGUAAAAAUCCAUUGGUUUGCUGUAUUCAAGAGACCCAUUUCACAUGCAAGGACACACAUAGACUCGAAAUAAAAGGAUGGAGAAACAUUUAUUAAGCAAAUGGAAAACAGAAAAAAGGAGGGGUUGCACUCCUAGUUUCUUACAAAAUAGACUUUAAACCAAAAAAGUUCACAAAAGACAAAGAAGGGCAUUACAUAAUGGUAAAGGGGUCAAUUGAACAAGAAGAACUAACUAUCCUAAAUAUACACCCAAGACAGAAGCAGCCAGAUUCAUAAAACAAGUUCUUUGAGACCUACAAAGAGACUUAGACUCCCAUACAAUAAUACUAGGAGACUUUAAACCCCAGUGACAAUAUUAGACAUACCAUAGAGACAGAAAAUUAACAAAGAUAUUCAUGACUUGUACUCAGAUCUGGACCAAGUUGACCCGAUAGCUGUCUACAGAUCUUUAAACAUAAAACCCAAAACUGUAAAAACACUAGAAUACAUUCUAGAUCCAUUAUAGAAUUAUUCUAAUAUAUUCUAGAAUUAUUCUAGAAUAAAUUCUACAGACCUUUGCACCUGAAAACAACAAAAUACACAUUCUUCUUGGUGCCACAUGGCACUUACUCUAAAAUUGAUCACAUAAUUGGAAGUAAAUCACUCCUCAGCAAAUACAAAAGAAAUGAAACCAUAACAAACAGUCUCUCAGACCACAGCACAAUCAAAUUAAAACUCAAGAGUAAGAAACUUACUCAGAAUCACAAAACUACAUGGAAAUGGAACAAUCUGCUCCUGAAUGAUUCCUGAGUAAACAAUGAAAUUCAUUAUUGGUUGUUCAAUUAAAUUAUUAUUGGCUGUUCAAUGAAAUCAGGAAGUUUUUUGAAACCCAAUGAGUACAAAGAGACAACAUACCAGAAUCUCUGGGAUGCAGCUAAAGCAGUGUUAGGAGAGAAAUUUAUAGCACUAAAUGCCCACAUCAAAAAUCUAGAAAGAUCUCAAAUCAACAACCUAUAGCAUCACAACUAAAAGAGCUAGAGAAGCAAGAGCAAACAAACACCAAAGCUAGCAGAAGACAAGAAAUAACCAAGAUUAGAGCAGAACUGAAGGAGACAGAGACAUGAACAACCCUUCAAAAAAAAUCAAUGAAUCUAGGUGCUGUUUUUUUGAAAUAGUUGAUAAAAUAGAUAGACCACUAGCUAGACUAAUAUAGAACAAAGAGGAAAGAAUCAAAUAGACACAAUAAAAAGUGAUAGAGGGAAUAUUACCACUGACCCCACAGAAAUACAAACUACAAUUGGGGAAAACUUUAAACAGCUGUAUGCAAAUAAACUAGAUAAUCUAGAAAACAUGAAUACAUUCCUGGACAUAUACACCCUCCCAAGACUGAAAGAGGAAGAAGUUGAAUCCCCAAAUAGAUCAAUAACAAGUUCUGAAAUUGAAGCAGUAAUAAAUAGACUACCAAAGAAAAAAAGCCCAGGACCAGACAGAUUUACAGCUGAAUUAUAUCAGAAAUACAAAGGGGAGCUAAUACCAUUUUUUUCUGAAACUAUUCCAAACAACUGAAAAGGAGGGACUUCUCCCUAACUCAUUCUUUGAGGCCAGCAUCAUCCUGAUACCAAAACCUGGCAGAGAUACAACAAAAAAAGAAAGCUUCAGGCCAAUAUUCCUGAUGAACACUGAUGCAAAAAGUCUCAAUAAAAUACUGGCAAAUGGAAUCCAGCAGCACAUCAACAAGCUUAUCCACCACAAUCAAGUUGGCUUUAUCCCUGGGAUGCAAGGAUGGUCAACAUAUGCAAAUUAAUAAAUGUAAUUCAUCACAUAAACAGAUUGAAAGACAAAAGCCACAUGAUUAUCUCAAUAGAUGCAGAAAAGGCCUUUGAUAAAAUUCAGCAUUUCUUCAUGUUAAAAGCCCUCAAUAAACUAGAUAUUGAAGGAACAUAACUCAAAAUAAUAAGAGCCAUUUAUGACAAACUCACAGCCAACAUUAUACUGAAUGGGCAAAAGCUGGAAGCAUUCCCCUUGAAAAUCAGCACAAGAUAAGGAUGCCCUCUCUCACCACUCCUAUUCAACUUUGUAUUGGAAGUUCUGGCCAGGGCAAUCAGGCAAGAGAAAGAAAUAAAGAGUAUUCAAAUAGGAAGAGAGGAAGUCAAGUUGUCUCUGUCUGCAGAUGACAUAAUUUUAUAUUUAGAAAACUCCAUCAUCUCAGCUCAAAAACUUCUUGAAUUGACAAGCAAAUUCAGCAAAGUCUCAGGAUACAAAAUCAAUGUGCAAAAAUCAAAAGCAUUCCUUUACACCAUCAAUAGGCAAGGAGAGAACCAAAUCAUGAAUGAUCUCCCAUUCAUAAUUGCUAUAGAAAGAAUAAAAUGUCUAGGAAUACAGUUAACAAGGGAAGUGAAGUACUUCUUCAAGGAGAACUACAAACCUUUGCUCAAGGAAACCAGAAAGUACACAAACAAAUUGAAAAAUAUUCCAUGCUCAUGAAUAGGAAGAAUCAAUGUUGUGAAAAUGGUCUUACUGCCCAAAGUAAAUUACAGAUUCAAUGCUAUUCCCAUUAAACUACCACUGACAUUAUUCACAGAAUUAGAAAAAAAAACUAUUUUAAAAUUCAUAUCAAACCAAAAAAGAGCCCAUAUAACCAAGACAAUAGUAAGCAGAAAGAACAAAGCUGGAGGCAUCAUCAUACCAGAUUUCAAACUAUCCUAUAAGGUUUGAAACCCAAUGAGUACAAAGAGACAACAUACCAGAAUCUCUGGGAUGCAGCUAAAGCAGUGUUAGGAGAGAAAUUGAUAGCACUAAAUGCCCACAUCAAAAAUCUAGAAAGAUCUCAAAUCAACAACCUAUAGCAUGGUAGUGGUACAAAAACAGGCACAUAGACCAAUAAAACAGAAUACAGAACUCAGAAAUAAGAUCGCACAUCCACGACCAUCUGAUCUUUAACAAACCUGACAAAAACAAGCAAUGGGGAAAGGAUUCCCUACUCAACAAAUUCUGCUAGGAUAACCAGCCAUUUAUUUGCAGAAAAUUGAAACUGGACACUUUCCUUACACCUUAUAUAAAAAUUAACAUGAGUCUUUAACACAAGUCUUUAAUCUAUCUUAGAUUAACACAAGUCUUUAAUCUAAGAGAGGUUAAAGACUUAAAUGUAAAACCCAAAACUAUAAAAACACUAGAAUAAAUUCUAGGCAAUACCACUAGGGCACAGGCAAAGAUUUCCUGACACAAUCACCAAAAGCAAUUGCAAUAAAAGCAAAAAUUGACAAAUGGGAUCUACUCAAACUAAAGAGCUUCUGCACAGGGAAAUGAUCAUCAGAGUGAACAGGCAAUCUACAGAGUGGGAGAAAAUCUUCUCAAUUUAUCUAUCCAACAAAGGUCUAAUAUCCAGAAUCCAGAAUCCACAAGGAACUCAAACAAAUUUACAAGAAAAUAACAAACAACCCCAAUAAAAAGUGGGCAACAGACAUGAACAGACACUUCUCAAAAGAAAACAUUGAUGAGGCCAACAAACAUAUUUAAAAAAACUCAACAUAACUCAUCAUUAGAGAAAUGGAAGUCAUAACCACAAUGAGAUGCCAUCUCAUGCCAAUCAGAAUGGCCAUUAUUAAAAGAUGAAGAAACAACAGUAUCUGGCAAAGGUGCAGAGAAAUAGGAAUGCUUUUACACUGUUGGUGGGAAUGUAAAUUCAUUCAACCAUUGCAGAAGACGGUGUGGUGAUUCUUCAAAGAGCUAGAACCAGAAAUACCAUUUGACCAGGAAUCCCAUUACUGGUUAUAUAUUCAAAGGAAUAUAAAUCAUGCAACUAUAAAGACACAUGCACAAGUAUGUUUUUUGCAGCACUGUUCACAAUAGCAAAGUCUUGGAACCAACCCAAAUGCUAAUCAAUGAUAAACUAAAGAAAAUAUGACACACAUACACCAUGGAAUAUUAUGCAGUCAUAAAAAGGAAUAAGAUCAUAUUCUUUUCAGGGACAUGGAUCAAAGUGGAAGCCAUUAUCCUCAGCAAACUAAUGAAAGAACAGAAAACCAAACACCACAUGCUCUCACUUAUAACUGGGAGCUGAACGAUGGGAUCAUAUAGACACAAAAAUGGAAACAACACGCACUAGAGCCUAUCAGGGAGUAGGGUGUGGAGAGAGAGCGUAUUAGAAAGUAUGGCUAAUGCAUGCUGGGCUUAAUAUUUAGGUGAUGGGUUGAUAGGUGCAGUAAACCACUAUGGCACAUGUUUACCUAUAUAACAAAUCUGAAUAUCUGGUACAUGUGCCCCAGGACUAAAAAUUUAAAAAAUUUAAAAAAAAAAAGAAGAAAGCAACCAGUUUUAUAACACUGUGUAUGAUUAUAACUAUAGGUUUUAAGUAGAUGUUCUUUAUCAAGGUGAGGAACUUCACUUUGAAAUUUAGCUUGCCAAAAUUUUUUAUUAUAAAUGGAUGUGUGUUUUUGUCAAAUGUUUUCUUCAGUAUCAAUCAGUAUGAGUAUACCAUUUUUAAAAACAUUUUGCCUAUGAUAUGGUGGUGUUGAACCAGCAUUUCAUGCUUGGAAUAAAUCUCACUUGGUUGGUUAUGUUGUAUAAUUUUUUGUUUUAUAAUUUUUUUGAAUUGCUAAUGUUUUAAUAAAGAUUUUUGAAUCUAUGUUCAUAAGAAAAAUUGACCUGUAUGUUUCCUUUCUAAUAAUGCCGCUGUCUUGUUUUAAUAUUAGGGUAAUGUUGAACUCAUAGAAUGUUAGGAAGUAAUUCCUCUGCAUCUAUUUUCUGAAGAUUACUGUGGAGAACAGAAGCAGUCUUGCUCUGUCACUAGGCUGGACUCCAGUGGCAUGAUGUCGGCUCACUGCAACCUCUGCCUGCUGGAUUCAAGCGAUUCUCCUCCCUCAGCCUCCUGAGUAGCUGGGACUACAGGCACGUGCCACCACACCUGGCUAAUUUUUGGUAUUUUAGUAGAGACAGGGUUUCACCAUGAUGGUCAGGAUGGUCUCGAUCUCCUGACCUCGUGAUCCACCAGCCUCAGCCUCCCAAAGUGCUGGGAUUACAGGCAUGAGCCACCGCUCCCGGCCUAUAUGUUUUCUUAUGUAAUUGUUAAAUGACUAGGUAGAAGUUCCCAGUCUAAAUCAGAGAUAACACAAGUAAUGUAAUUAUGUCAGUGAGAUGAGUAAUUUAUUGCAAACAUAUGGCUAUCUAUGGAAGUAAAACUAAACAGAGAACUGUUUAUUUAUCAGAAGAUUAAAGAAAAAAAUUCAUGGUACUGGCCAGAGAUAUUUUUCUAAGUGCCAGAAAUGUGUCUUUAGAUUUAUUUGAAUAAGAAGGUGAAAGAGUAAAGAUAUCAUCUGCUAUGAACCUAUUAACAUGUACUUCUUUAAUAUAAUUAUUACAUAUGGAUUAGUGUAAAGAUAACUCAUUUUUAUAUUGUCUUUCUAACUGUACAUACAUAUUAUAUGUUUUUUCAUGUAAAUCUU
rnacentral:lncRNA from 1 species